rnacentral:lncRNA from 1 species
AGAUUGAUGAACUCCCAGAGGGCGCCGUGAAGCCUCCAGCAAACAAGUACCCUAUCUUCUUUUUCGGAACCCAUGAAACUGCAUUUCUAGGUCCUAAAGACCUUUUCCCAUAUAAGGAAUACAAAGACAAGUUUGGAAAGUCAAACAAACGGAAAGGAUUUAAUGAAGGAUUAUGGGAAAUUGAAAAUAAUCCAGGAGUGAAAUUUACUGGGUACCAGACAAUUCAGCAACAGAGCUCUUCAGAAACUGAGGGAGAAGGAGGGAACACUGCAGAUGCAAGCAGUGAGGAAGAAGGUGACAGAGUAGAAGAUGGAAAAGGCAAGAGAAAGAAUGAAAAAGGAGGCUCAAAACGGAAAAAGUCCUACACUUCAAAGAAGUCUUCUAAACAGUCCCGGAAAUCUCCAGGAGACGAAGAUGACAAAGACUGCAAAGAAGAGGAGAACAAAAGCAGCUCUGAGGGCGGAGAUGCUGGCAAUGACACAAGAAACACGACUUCAGACUUGCAGAAAGCCGGUGAAGGGACCUAACUACCGUAAUGAAUGCUGCAUAUUGAGAGAAACCACAAGAAGGUUAACUGUUUGAUUGUCUGAUUCUUGGAUUUGAUAUGAACCAACAGUCUUUGUUGUCACUGACAAAGCCCCAGUGUGUGUGUGCAUUACAUUCCUCUCUGUUCUGCUGAAGGGAAAAAAGAGACAUUUUAACCUUUUUAAGGUUAUUGACUUAAUUUUAUGUUAUUUGGUUGCAUGAAGUUGCCCUUAACCACUAAGAAUGAUCAAGAUUUUGCAGACUUCUCCGUGUCUAGGCUCCUUUUCCAAGGCAGUCCAAGUCAUCAGCUUUCUGCCUCUAUCCCACCAUCAUCAAACACUCAGCGAAAUAGUAAUUCGUAUUUUUAGAUAAUUACUCAACAUAAUACUUCAGGAUGGGAUUUUCUUUAUAGCAGAACUCAAGAACCAACUCCUAGAUACAUACUGUUGGUAUAUGGAGAUGAAAUUACAGUCAUCUUUCAGUUUUAAGGCCAUGUGUAAAGUUUAACCACAUUGUACAAUACCUAUUCUGUAUUAGAAAUAGCUAGUUGAAACUUAUACUUCUCAAAACUCAUGUUCCUGUGUACACAAGCUGAGUUUACAUGUGAACUUAGUGAGUCUUUUUAUGUCAUACCAAAAUAAAGCAAGGAUUUAUUUUUUUCCCAAAGCCAAUACGAUUUGAGCUAAUCACUCAAGAUGGUCACUUUACACUUGAAAGCUGAAAUCAGCAGGAGCACUAUGGGAAAACAAAGCAUUGACUCUUGAAGAUAGACUUUUAAACUAAACUUUUCUUUUAGAACUAGAAUUAGAGUAGUUACCAUUCAUCCACCAAGCAUUAUUAUGUGUACAUUAUCGUCGCUGCUGUGCUAAUAGAGUCUUAUUUAUUUUUAUGCCAGCUUAUACUGUGAGAACACAUUAGUCAGUUUGGGUUUCCCUAGCCCUGCUAUGCUUGUCCUUGGAAGAUCUUUUGUGUAUGUCUGAGGUUUGUAGCCGAAAAGUUUACUGUAAAAAAAAAAAAUCAAAAACAACAAAAAAAUGUAUUGUUUUUACAGAAUAAAUUUAUUGGAAUGUGUCCUGGGAGUAAGGUUUGAGGUUGUAAACACCUGAGUCAGUGUCAUUUGGCUCCAUAUGUGUAAUGUGAAGUAUUGAUGUAAUUCUUGUGUUAUAGCGAAGGUGGACAGCAAACUGACAUUAGAAUAAGUGCAGGUGAGAAUCUUAUUUUUUCUAUCAUUUUUCUUUUAAAUACUCUGGAUGUUAGGUUAAUCGAAAACACUGGGAGGGACAGGAGGGAGAAACCGUAGCAUCUGUCUGCAUGUCUAAGAAAACACCAGCUCAGUGGACACUGUGUUUACACACAGCCUUACGUGCAUCCUGUUUGCUUUGGGUGUUCUUACCGUGUUGAAGAACUAAUGAACAUGAAGAGAAAACAGAAGAAGACUUAAAUCCCAGCGUGGUCGUGAUGAUGAAGGUGAUGCAGGGCUCUGAGGCUUAGAUGCACCAGUCAGUCUACUGCCCCUGCGACAUCACCGUCCUUCAGGCUUAUUCCUGUCAUUUAGCUAUCAAUGGCUCCCCAACGUACUCACACAUUUCCAAGUAUGGAAAAUUCGUUAAAGACAGGCUGUCAAGUCAGCUAUUUUCUUUAAAAGGUACUUUUUCAUUUUAAGUAUUUUAUUUUAAAAUGAAAUUUGUCAAAAGAUAUCUUCAUUGUAAUGCAAAACAUAUGGAGAACUUAGAUAACAAUUUAAAUUGGAAGAUAUAACAAAGGUUUUUUGUUUGUUUGUUUGAGACAGGGUUUCUCUGUGUAGCCCUGGUUUCCUGGAACUCACUCUGUAGACCAGGCCGGCCUUGAACUCAGAUAUCAGCCUGUCUCUGAAUCCUGAGUGCUGGGAUUAAAGGUGUGUGCCACCAUUACCUGGCACAGAUUUCUUAAAUAAAAAGUUCAAAAUUUGUCAUGAAAAUGUAUAUAUAAAAUGCUUCAAAAUUAAUAAAGUUUAUCUUCAUAAGCACCAAAAAAUAAUUUUAUUGAAGAUAUACACAGAAACACAAGAGAAAUAAUCAGCCAGCCACCUAUGAAACAAGUGUUCAUUAAGGCAACUAAUGAAGUUGAUGUGUGUCAUCCUAGCUGUUUACAUUCAAUAGAAGUUUUGACAGCAAUUUUUAAAACAGCAAUAAAUAAUACACUUUCCAUAUGAAAACACUUGAAUCAAUUUAAAAAUAUUGUGAUGAUCUGGCAUUUAUAUUAGGAUUGUCAACUCAUACAUUUCAUAUGAAGCUAUUUCUCCAACCUGUAACUGCUACUUUGAAUUCUUUCCUAUGCAUAGUGAAUAUGGUUAGUCACUUCUGAAUAGCUUCAUUUUUAUGGUUUUUGUAGGCACUAGAGUUGUACUUUUCACACGUACUGUGUGCAAACAAUGUUAAGAUCAAUGG